GAUGAACGCUGGCGGCGUGCCUAAUACAUGCAAGUCGAGCGAACAGACGAGGAGCUUGCUCCUCUGACGUUAGCGGCGGAAGGGUGAGUAACACGUGGAUAACCUACCUAUAAGACUGGGAUAACUUCGGGAAACCGGAGCUAAUACCGGAUAAUAUAUUGAACCGCAUGGUUCAAUAGUGAAAGACGGUUUUGCUGUCACUUAUAGAUGGAUCCGCGCCGCAUUAGCUAGUUGGUAAGGUAACGGCUUACCAAGGCAACGAUGCGUAGCCGACCUGAGAGGGUGAUCGGCCACACUGGAACUGAGACACGGUCCAGACUCCUACGGGAGGCACCAGUAGGGAAUCUUCCGCAAUGGGCGAAAGCCUGACGGAGCAACGCCGCGUGAGUGAUGAAGGUCUUCGGAUCGUAAAACUCUGUUAUUAGGGAAGAACAAAUGUGUAAGUAACUAUGCACGUCUUGACGGUACCUAAUCAGAAAGCCCCGGCUAACUACGUG
rnacentral:rRNA from 1 species